UCUGCGGAGGGGAGGCCGGGGACCGCAGCCCGUCCGGGGCAGCGUAUGAGGGCCGUGCGGUGCCGGGAAAGCCGCGCCGGCCAAGUCGGCCCACCAGUCCCCAGCUAGGAAGGUCUUCUGGAGACACGCCCCUCCGGGGGCUGUCCAUCAUUCCAAGGCCCCGCCCCCUCGUGGGGCUACCCACCACACGGCCACGCCCACCCAUACAAGCACGACUCUCCAGCCCUGCUCGCCCCCCGCGAGGACACCGAGGCGCCUUCUCCAGGCCUAUCCUCACCUUCAGCUGCAGUUUCCUCGAGGCGGAAAUCUUGGACUUUUUCUGCCGGGGUGAGACGGAGCAAGGAGCAAUCAAGGCGGGGAGGCGAAGACGGGCGGUGAGAGGGGCCUCACGGCCGCUCCCUCAAGCCCCGCCCAGAUUCGGCCCGCCUCCAACGCCUGCCCUGAAUCUACCGGAGGCUACGCCCCUUAGUCCCCUCCACCAAUCCGGACUUCUGACUGAUUAGGCACCGCCCCUUACGCCCUAAGCAAUCGCAGUUCCCAUGGGCAACGGAACUCCGCCCAUACGCAGCUUUCACCAAUCCGAACCAGGCCCUCGGCAAAACUCCGCCCCCGAGGUGCCCCAUCCGCAUUGGCUCCGCCCACUACCGGAGCCCCGCCCCUCCUUUCCCAGGUUCAGACAGCCUCCGCGGACUCUGAGCCCAGACUCGUGGGAGCUCGGCGCUCACCUUUGCGUGCGGCUCCGUGGCGUACGCACGGUAGUUAGCGGAGGACCGGCGUCGGACCGGGGCCGGCGCGGGAGGCGGGCAGCCCGCCUGCGGUUGGGGGAACGGAGCCGCGUCACCGCCGGAUUCCCCAGCCCCCCUGCACAAGGUCUCCUGGGGCUGCAGCCUCCCGCCCCAGGUCCCGCCCUGCUGCUCCCUCCCUUGCCGGGCUCCUCCCGCCCGCGUCUGCUCUCACCGCAUCGCCGCUGCAGGAGGAAGAGAGACCGGGAGCGAGGGGUUAACAUGGGCCUGUGUCCUGUCCUGCCAGCCCAACAGCUCCCCCGUCCUCGGGUCCUAGGAGGUCUGAUUCCCAAACUUCCGUCGUGCAGACACCCGGGAGUCCUGUCUCCACCUCCCCUCUCAGGCCGUGUGCCCAGCCUCGCAGGAUCUAGGUGUGGCCCAGACUCUCGAAGGCAACAGCACAGAGAAACCCACUUCUAGUUUACUUGGAACUAGGUCUCCUCUCUUGACCACCCUAGGCGCUCCCCUCCCCCAGCCCUGGAGACAAGACUGAGGACAGGAAAGCUACACGGGCACACGGAGAAGAGGACCCCGCUCUCUUUACUCGGACCACGUGGGGGUGCUGACUAGCCCUGGAGAGCAGACCACCCCAAACCCCAGUUAAAACAGGACCUCUGGCGACAAGGGGACCACACAGAGGGCCUGAGCCUCAGGGCCAGAUCGCCAGGCUCAGGAAUGAAAUGGAGAACUCUGAGAGAACCAUCUAGAAUUCUAAGAACAGACUAUAGCAUCCCAGGAAUGUAAUCUGAAAUUCUAGCAACACCUCUGAAGCUGAUUGAGAA